UACAGAGGUCUCAAGCGUUGUUCGGAUUCAUUGGGCGUAAAGGGCGCGUAGGCGGCGCGGCAAGUCGGGUGUGAAAUCUCGGAGCUUAACUCCGAAACUGCAUUCGAUACUGCCGUGCUUGAGGACUGGAGAGGAGACUGGAAUUUACGGUGUAGCGGUGAAAUGCGUAGAUAUCGUAAGGAAGACCAGUGGCGAAGGCGGGUCUCUGGACAGUUCCUGACGCUGAGGCACGAAAGCGUGGGGAGCAAACAGG
rnacentral:rRNA from 1 species